rnacentral:rRNA from 1 species
UAGCAAUAUCGGGCUAACCUAGUGGCGAACGGGUGCGUAACACGUGACCAACCUGCCUAAAAGUGGGGGAUAGCUCGCCGAAAGGCGGAUUAAUACCGCAUGUGAUCGUAAGAUUAAAGCAGCAAUGCGCUUUUAGAGGGGGUCGCGGCCUAUCAGCUAGUUGGUGAGGUAAAGGCUUACCAAGGCAGCGACGGGUAGCUGGUCUGAGAGGACGACCAGCCACACUGGGACUGAGACACGGUCCAGACACCUACGGGUGGCAGCAGUCGAGAAUUUUUCUCAAUGGGGGAAACCCUGAAGGAGCGACGCCGCGUGGAGGAUGAAGGCUUUCGGGUUGUAAACUCCUGUCAUCUGGGAACAAAACUCGCAAGAGCUUGAUAGUACCAGAAGAGGAAGAGACGGCUAACUCUGUGCCAGCAGCCGCGGUAAUACAGAGGUCUCAAGCGUUGUUCGGAUUCAUUGGGCGUAAAGGGCGCGUAGGCGGUGGGGUAAGUCUGGUGUGAAAUCUCGGAGCUCAACUUCGAAAUUGCACUGGAUACUGCUCUGCUAGAGGGCUGGAGAGGAGAUCGGAAUUCACGGUGUAGCA